rnacentral:rRNA from 1 species
CCCCAGGCGGUCGACUUAACGCGUUAGUCCGGAAGCCACGCCUCAAGGGCACAACCUCCAAGUCGACAUCGUUUACAGCGUGGACUACCAGGGUAUCUAAUCCUGUUUGCUCCCCACGCUUUCGCACCUGAGCGUCAGUCUUUGUCCAGGGGGCCGCCUUCGCCACCGGUAUUCCUCCAGAUCUCUACGCAUUUCACCGCUACACCUGGAAUUCUACCCCCCUCUACAAGACUCUAGCUUGCCAGUUUCAAAUGCAGUUCCCAAGUUAAGCUCGGGGAUUUCACAUCUGACUUAACAAACCGCCUGCGUGCGCUUUACGSCCAGUAAUUCCGAUUAACGSUUGCACCCUCCGUAUUACCGCGGCUGCUGGCACGGAGUUAGCCGGUGCUUCUUCUGCSAGUAACGUCAAUGAACAGUGCUAUUAACACYGAACCCUUCCUCCUCGCUGAAAGUGCUUUACAACCCGAAGGCCUUCUUCACACACGCGGCAUGGCUGCAUCAGGCUUGCGCCCAUUGUGCAAUAUUCCCCACUGCUGCCUCCCGUAGGGGUCUGGACCGUGUCUCAGUUCCAGUGUGGCUGGUCAUCCUCUCAGACCAGCUAGGGRUCGU